GAUGAACGCUGGCGGCGUGCCUAAUACAUGCAAGUCGAGCGAACGGACGAGAAGCUUGCUUCUCUGAUGUUAGCGGCGGACGGGUGAGUAACACGUGGAUAACCUACCUAUAAGACUGGGAUAACUUCGGGAAACCGGCGCUUAUACCGGAUAAUAUUUUGCACCGCAUGGUUCAAAAGUGAAAGACGGUCUUGCUGUCACUUAUAGAUGGAUCCGCGCUGCAUUAGCUAGUUGGUAAGGUAACGGCUUACCAAGGCAACGAUGCAUAGCCGACCUGAGAGGGUGAUCGGCCACACUGGAACUGGGACACGGUCCAUGCUCCUACGGGAGGCAGCAGUAGGGAAUCUUCCGCAAUGGGCGAAAGCCUGACGGAGCAACGCCGCGUGAGUGAUGAAGGUCUUCGGAUCGUAAAACUCUGUUAUUAGGGAAGAACAGAUGUGGAAGUAACUGUGCACAUCGUGACGGUACCUAAUCAGAAAGCCACGGCUAACUACGUG
rnacentral:rRNA from 1 species